GGUUCAUACGUUAAUAGCGUAUGGAUUUGACGUUAGCUGCAGAAGAAGCACCGGCUAACUCCGUGCCAGCAGCCGCGGUAAUACGGAGGGUGCGAGCGUUAAUCGGAAUUACUGGGCGUAAAGCGCAUGCAGGUGGUUUGUUAAGUCAGAUGUGAAAGCCCGGGGCUCAACCUCGGAAUAGCAUUUGAAACUGGCAGACUAGAGUACUGUAGAGGGGGUAGAAUUUCAGGUGUAGCGGUGAAAUGCGUAGAGAUCUGAAGGAAUACCGGUGGCGAAGGCGGCCCCCUGGACAGAUACUGACACUCAGAUGCGAAAGCGUGGGGAGCAAACAGGAUUAGAUACCCUGGUAG
rnacentral:rRNA from 1 species